rnacentral:rRNA from 1 species
AGAGUUUGAUCCUGGCUCAGGAUGAACGCUGGCGGCGUGCCUAACACAUGCAAGUCGAACGGAGUUCUUGAGGAAUGCGACUUCGGUCAAAUGACUUUUGAACUUAGUGGCGGACGGGUGAGUAACGCGUGAGCAACCUGCCUUUCAGAGGGGGAUAACAUUUGGAAACAGAUGCUAAUACCGCAUAAGAUUACAGUACCGCAUGAUACAGUGAUCAAAGGAGCAAUCCGCUGAAAGAUGGGCUCGCGUCCGAUUAGAUAGUUGGUGAGGUAACGGCUCACCAAGUCGACGAUCGGUAGCCGGACUGAGAGGUUGAACGGCCACAUUGGGACUGAGACACGGCCCAGACUCCUACGGGAGGCAGCAGUGGGGAAUAUUGCACAAUGGGCGAAAGCCUGAUGCAGCAACGCCGCGUGAGGGAAGACGGUUUUCGGAUUGUAAACCUCUGUUUUCGGUGACGAACAAAUGACGGUAACCGAGUAGGAAGCCACGGCUAACUACGUGCCAGCAGCCGCGGUAAUACGUAGGUGGCAAGCGUUAUCCGGAAUUACUGGGUGUAAAGGGAGCGCAGGCGGGAUAGCAAGUCAGCUGUGAAAACUAUGGGCUCAACCCAUAAACUGCAGUUGAAACUGUUAUUCUUGAGUGGAGUAGAGGCAAGCGGAAUUCCGAGUGUAGCGGUGAAAUGCGUAGAUAUUCGGAGGAACACCAGUGGCGAAGGCGGCUUGCUGGGCUCUAACUGACGCUGAGGCUCGAAAGUGUGGGGAGCAAACAGGAUUAGAUACCCUGGUAGUCCACACUGUAAACG